GGGUGUAAAGGGUGCGCAGGCGGUUCUGUAAGUCAGAUGUGAAAUCCCCCGGGGCUUAUCCUGGGAACUGCGUUUGAAACUGCAGAGCUAGAGUGCGGCAGAGGGAGGUGGAAUUCCAUGUGUAGCAGUGAAAUGCGUAGAGAUAUGGAAGAACAUCGAUGGCGAAGGCAACCUCCUGGGCUAGCACUGACGCUCAUGCACGAAAGCGUGGGGAGCAAAACAGGAUUAGAUACCCUGGUAGUCCACGCCCUAAACUAUGUCAACUAGUUGUCGGGUCUUAAUAGACUUGGUAACGUAGCUAAACGCGUGAAGUUGACCGCCUGGGGGAGUACGGUCGCAAGAUUAAAAACU
rnacentral:rRNA from 1 species